rnacentral:tRNA from 1 species
GCCUGGGUGGCUCAGUCAGUUAAGCGUCUGACUUUGGCUCAGGUCAUGAUCUCACAGUUCGUGAGUUCAAGCUCCACCUUGGGCU